rnacentral:lncRNA from 1 species
CUCUUUCCCGAUGAGGCACCUUUUAAAAGAUAAAACCGUGAGGCCCAAAAUGACUCAUAUAACUCCUGAGCUACGAACCUAGAUCAAAGCGGACAAUACCUCACACGCACAUGUAGAAAUCAAGCCGUCCGAUCUAUCUGAGCCACCUGACUCUUUGACUACAAUAUUGGCACCCACUAUGGAGCAGCCUCUUGUCUACACAC